rnacentral:rRNA from 1 species
GACGAACGCUGGCGGCGUGCUUAACACAUGCAAGUCGAACGGAAAGGCCCUGCUUUUGUGGGGUGCUCGAGUGGCGAACGGGUGAGUAACACGUGAGUAACCUGCCCUUGACUUUGGGAUAACUUCAGGAAACUGGGGCUAAUACCGGAUAGGAGCUCCUGCUGCAUGGUGGGGGUUGGAAAGUUUCGGCGGUUGGGGAUGGACUCGCGGCUUAUCAGCUUGUUGGUGGGGUAGUGGCUUACCAAGGCUUUGACGGGUAGCCGGCCUGGGAGGGUGACCGGCCACAUUGGGACUGAGAUACGGCCCAGACUCCUACGGGCGGCAGCAGUGGGGAAUAUUGUACAAUGGGCGGAAGCCUGAUGCAGCAACGCCGCGUGCGGGAUGACGGCCUUCGGGUUGUAAACCGCUUUCGCCUGUGACGAAGCGUGAGUGACGGUAAUGGGUAAAGAAGCACCGGCUAACUACGUG